CUUUAAUUCGUUUUCUACAAAUUUCAGGUUAUAAUAUUAUAAAACGUUUUGAAUAUUACACAUUAAUAAAAAUGUAAAAUCCUUACGGCGAUACUAAAUUGACUGCGACGUGAUGAAUCCAUUGAAUAAAAUUUGCAAGACUUAUAUCUUGAUGGCAUAUGACAGCCAUUUUGUCAGAUUUUGGAAUAUCAACAUAAUUUUCAAAAUGUUGUAAAAUUGGACUAUAUAAUUGUUUAAAGUAUGUCAACUGGGGCAGAACAA